CCCCUUUCAGGGUUUCAUCUGGAGAGUUUCCAGUACUCUACCAGCCUCAGCUAUGGGAGGGAGAGUCAAGCAGAGGCAUAUCCAUUUCACUCCUAGCUUGGGCAGUGGCUAGCGAAUGGAAGGAAAUCUGUUACAAGU